rnacentral:rRNA from 1 species
CCCUUAGAUGUUCUGGGCAGCACGCGCGCUACAAUGGUCUUCGCAAACGGAUGCAUUCUCGAAGGAGAAUGCCAAUCUUGGAAUCUAUGCCUUGGUCGGGACAGUUGCUUGCAAUUUUUCGACUCGAACCAGGAAUACCUUGUAAUCGUGAUUCAUCACAUCACGAUGAAUACGUCCCUGCCCUUUGUACACACCGCCCGUCGCUCCUACCGAUCGAAGAGUUAGGUGAAUUGUUUUGAUCGAUAAGAUUUGACUAUGGUCAACUCUCGUUGUGAAAUUCUGUGAAUCUGACUGUUUAGAGGAAGGAAAAGUCGUAACA